UACAGAGGGUGCGAGCGUUAAUCGGAGUUACUGGGCGUAAAGGGCGCGUAGGUGGUUAGUUAAGUGAGUUGUGAAAGCCCUGGGCUUAACCUAGGAACUGCAACUUAUACUGGCUGACUGGAGUACAGUAGAGGGUGGAGGAAUUUCCGGUGUAGCGGUGAAAUGCGUAGAUAUCGGAAGGAACACCAGUGGCGAAGGCGGACACCUGGACUGAUACUGACACUGAGGCGCGAAAGCGUGGGGAGCAAACAGG
rnacentral:rRNA from 1 species